GGUUCCAUGGUGCAAUAGUUAGUACUCUGGACUCUGAAUCCAGUGAUCUGAGUUUGAAUCUCAGUGGGACCU